rnacentral:rRNA from 1 species
AGAUUGAACGCUGGCGGCAUGCCUAACACAUGCAAGUCGAACGGGAGCAGCAAUGCUCUAGUGGCGGACGGGUGAGGAAUACGUAGGAAUUUGCCCUUAAGUGGGGGAUAACCCGGGGGAAACCCGGAUUAAUACCGCAUGACCUCGAAAGAGCAAAGUGGGGGAUCGCAAGACCUCACGUCUUUGGAGAAGCCUACGGUCGGAUUAGCUAGUUGGUGAGGUAAUGGCUCACCAAGGCGACGAUCCGUAACUGGUCUGAGAGGAUGAUCAGUCACGACCGGAACUGAGACACGGGUCCGACUCCGACGGGAGCAGGCAGUAGGGAUAUGGACAGUGGG